GUGAGAGUGGAGUAGACCAGGUUGUUGAAAUUAUUAAGGUACGUUUUACUUCAAAAUUCUAAUCAAUAAUAGUUUUAUUAUGAUUAUUUUGGAAAAAUUAAUAUUUUGGGACUGCGAUUUUGUAUAGAUUUAAUUGAUGGUUGUGUUUGGAGCAAAAUUAUUUUGUUUCCAAAUUAUUUUUAAAUUUUUGUUUUUGAAAAUAUUUAUAAAUUAUGUUACACUACAAUAAGAUUUUAAUUUAUAUGUUUUCCUUUUUAAUUGAACUCGAAUAAUUUCACUAAAUUUUAUUCAAUACGACUCAAAUUUAAUUUUACUUAACUCGAUAAAAUAUUAAAUUUAGUUAAGAUACUAAAAUAAUACUUAUCAUAAAAUAUGUAACGCCCCAAUUUUCGAGAAUUCUGUGAAUGUUGGCAUAGGUUUAAUUAUGUUAGUGGGCCUCUAGAAGGCCCAAGCUUAAGAUAGAACCUGGCAAUUUUAGUUAAUUUUUGUUCCAUAAGAAAAAUGGGGUGAAAUUAUGAAAUAGGACCUAUGUGAAAAUGUUUGAAAAUGUUAUAGGCUAAAUUGAAGUGGCCAAAUAAAUAGGAGUGCAAAAUAGGAGGAUUUGCAUGACAAACCUCCCAUUUUACAUGAAGUGGCCAGCCAUCAUGUUGUUGUAGACAAUAUGAGCACUUGAUAUCCAUAAUUCAUGGUACAAAUUGAUAAUGGGUUAGGUAAAUGUUCCAUGAUAAUGAAUUAGGUAAAUAUUCCAUGAUAAUGGGUUAGGUAAAUGUUCCAUGAUAAUGGUUUAGGUAAAUGUUCCAUGAUAGGCAUUUCAUGUCUUUUGUAUUAAAGAAUUAAAUGGAUGAAAUAUGAAAUUUUAUUAAAAUAAAAAGGGGUGAAAAGAACAAAGUUUUGUCCAUCUUUGUUCAUCAUAGCCGAAAGUUAGAGAAGAGAAAGGAGAGGAGAAAGCUCUUGAAUGUUCGGUCACUUGGGGAAGAAAAUUAAGGUAAGUUCAUGGUAGUUUGCUUCUAUCUUGAUGUUCAUGAGUUCUUCUUGAUUCUACCUUAACUCUUAAAGCAUAUUUUGGUUUUUAGUUGUGUUGUGAGCAUUUAGUCAUGAAUUAAAAUGAAGGAAAUGAUUGUUGUUUCAUGUUCUUUUGAUGAAAAAUGGAAGAUAGGUGAAGUUGAGCCAAACAAAUGAGCAUGCAUGUGCUUUAGAUGCUAAGGGGAAAAAUCGGCUAACAUGUUGUGCUUUAAAAUGAUGAAAUGGAGAUUAUACUUAAGUAAAUCAUAGAUAUGUGAUGAUUGAUUGGUGAUAUACAUGUUUAAAUAACAAGCAUGCAAGUUAGGUGUGAAAGAGUGAUUUGGUAAUAAAUCUGCUUGGGACAGCAGCAGUAAGGUGACUUUGGAAAUUCACCAUAAAUUGUGGGAGAUGAGUUAGAAGCUUCAUAAAUUAUGUAAUUAAAGCUUAAUGAGUCUAGUUUCAAAUGGAAUAAACGAGAACAUAUUUUGAAUUCUUUACAAUGAGAAAUUUGAUUCGUAAUAAAGAGUGGUCAGAUUAGUCAAACAGUGAAACAUGGGACACUUUAAGAAAAAUCUGGUAUUGAUUUGCCAUACCAAAAAUUCUGAAAAUUUUAUGGAUAGAAGAUAUAUGAGUCUAUUUUCAGGGAAAAUUAACAGCACUUGAUUUUGAGUUUCGUAGCUCUAGUUAUAAAUAAUUUAGUGACUAUUGCUCAGGAAGAUAGCUUGCAGUGAAAUUAUGAUUAUGUGGUAAACAUUGACAAAAAUUUGUUAAUGAGUUGCUUAUUGAUUUCUUAUAAGCUUACUAUGAUCUGUAGGUGUGGUUGGCCGAAUAUUGUAAGGGGUUAAUUCGUAGUUUGUAUUUGAAUAGUUAGAUUAACGUGUUAGUAAUCCAAUUGUAGGCAGUUCGUGUGUGGAUCUCGUCAGCAUAUCGUCGCAAACAGGUGUGUAACUGACACCCUCUCAUAGACUAGAUUGGCAAAAGCCGAAAAGCCAAAAUGUCGAAAAGUCGGUAUUUUGGGAAUUUGCGAGUGUACGAAUGCUCGUAAGAUAGUUGGGUUUGUAUAUUUGGUAAUCUAAAGUAAUAAACUACAGUACGCGCGAUUUCAUACAUUUUGAUAAUUUGGGCUUAAUGGGCCAAAGAUCGAGUUCAUGGGCCAACGGGCCCAAUUCGGUAAGUAUGCGCGGUAAGUGUUCUGAUAGUACGUAAAUAGUUAGGAUAUGCAUGAAAACCCUAAAAGUAGAUAAAUUACUAUAAUACCCCUAUGUAUGGAAAAUUACUGUUAUACCCCUAGGUGCAAAAUUACCGUUAUACCCCUAGGGUUAAUUUUGACUGAAAAGCAUGACGAUCUGAUUCUGUAUGAUGUAUGCCAUGAUUAUAUAUCUGUUGCAUGGGAACAUGGGUUAUAUUAUGGAGGAAGCGUCCUGGUGGCAUGCCACAAUUAUCCGUUCUGGUGGCUAUGCCACGAUUAUCUGAUCUGGUGGCUCUGCCACAUAUAUCUGUUCUGGUAGCUCUGCCACAAUAUCUGUAUCUGGUGACUUCGUCACAAUAUCUGGCAGCCUCGCUGUGAUUUCUGUAAUGUGUAGCGGUUGGGUGGGUCGAGUAGUCUCCCCACAUGGUGUAAGGCUGGUACGGGAGUGUUAUGGAUGAAUCUGGGUUGGGUUUCUGCAUAAACAUGUAAUAUCUGUUCUGUUCUGUUAUGGGCCUAUGGGCUUUAUUCUGAAUUCUGUUCUGGGCUAAGGCCAACUUAUUCUAUUUCUUUAGUUUGAGCUGAUAUAGGCUAUGGUUGGGUUAAUUUACACACUGAGUUUCCCCAAACUCACCCCUUUUAUUUUCAUCCAACGCAGAUAAUCCCCAACCAUAGUGGGCUUGGAGCUGUGAGGGAAUUCGUAAUGGCCACCCAUUUUGAAAGUUUGAUUUUCUUCUGGUGAACUGGACAUCCUUUUAUUUACGUUUGAAGUUUUGGGUUUUUAAAUGUAAUAAGGCCGCUUAAUUAUUUUUGAUGGUUUUAAUAUGUAUUACUAAGAUAGGUAUUACUUAUUUUAACUGUUGAAAUUGGAUAGCUUUAGGGCGCAUUUUCAAAGACAACAAUUGAUUUCAAAAUAACACGACAAUAAGCAAAGCUUCCGCAAUGAAAGUAUUUUCCAAAAUUAAUCACUUUUCCUAAAAAUGACUUAAUCAAAUCGGUUUCCUAGGAAUAUCUAUGAUGUUAAGGCAUGGCAAUGGCGGUAUGCAUGUCUAGGAUUAGAUCCGAAGGGAGCUUGGUACUUAAGCAGUCCGAUGGACUCACCACCUCUUUUUCGGUUUCUUACCUGGUGCACAGCUUCCAUUCACUUUAACCUAUAAUGAAAUUGUCUUUUAAAACACUAAGUAAGUUUUUCUGGAUCAACAAUAUAAAAUGUUUUGAACGCUUCGAUGUGGCAUGUCGGAUUCGGUCAUAACAUCUGGGCUGGGUUUGGGGUGUUACAUUUAGUGGUAUCAGAGCCUAGGUUGCAACAACUCGGCUGUGGAAUGGGUUUACAAAAAAAAAGAUUUUCAAAAACAAAAAAUUUUUUGCGAAAAAUGCGAUUUUCAAAAUUUAGAUCUUUAGAAGGUGGCAUUCCGAAUCUCCGGCCCAAGCCUAUAAGUAUUACUCUAAACUUUUCUGAAUCUUUUCCUGAAUUAUCUGUCUGUACUGAAACCCUAUUAGGAUACUCUAGAUAGGACGAUAUUGAAACCAUAGGAAAAUCUAAUAAGAGACUGAAACUUUAGCUAGACUUCGAUUCUGCGAAAACAAACUCUGAACUACUGUCUGAUUCAUAAAACAUCUUUAAUAAACACUGGAAUAUUAAUUGAUGCAUAAAAAUUCUUAAUCAAGAUAAUACGAUAUGAGUACAAGAGGCCGUGGACGGAGCCGAGGAAGUGCUCGAGCAAGAUCUUCGUCUUCGAGACAUAUGCCGGUGGUGGAUGCAUCGGUACCACCGGCAACAGAGGUAGAGUCUCAUGACCGCGGUGUCGGGGAUAAUACCUGUCACAGGCAAUACUUCGUGUUCUGGAAAGGGUUGCCUGGGCAAGUACGGGCAAUGGAGUUCGGGGAUCUAUUUCUGAACGACUUCGGGCUAACGGAGCAGAGAUCUUUAGGGGCGUGUCUGGUAUAGCCCCGAAUGUGGCGGAAUAUUGGUUGGAGGCCACAGAACGGAUUAUGGACAACUUGGACUGCUCUGAGGAGAUUGUGAGUGGGGUAUCUGUACUAAGUCCUUUGGGUCACUCGGUUAGGGUAGACAAACUGUAUAGGGAUGUACCCUUAAAAACUCAAGGUAGGAUUUUCCCUGGAGAUCUGAUGGAGUUACCGUUCGGAGAGUUUGAUCUCAUUUUGGGAAUGGACUGGCUUGUUAAGCAUAAGGCGACCCUAGAUUGUGCUAUUAAACGAAUGGUGUUAAGGACCACAAAGGAUGAGGAGGUUAUAGUGAUAAGUGAGCGAAGGGAUUAUUUGUCCAAUGUGGUGUCGGCUUUAAGAGCCAAAAAGUGAAUUCGGAAAGGUUGUGAGGCUUAUUUGGCAUUUGUAAGUCAGUCAGAAGAGGAGGGACUGACAGUGGAUAAGGUUAGGACCGUAAAGGAGUUCCAAGAUGUUUUUCCAGAGGAGCUUCCAAGAUUGCCUCCAAACCGAGAAGUUGAGUUUGGAAUAGAUUUGUUGUCUGGAAUGACGCCCGUGUCCAUCGUACCGUAUAGGAUGGCACCAAGGAGUUAGUGGAAUUAAAGGCUCAAAUUCAAGAGUUGUUGGAUAAGGGCUUCAUUAGGCCAAGCGUGUCUCCAUGGGGAGCACCGGUGCUAUUCAUGAAAAAGAAGGAUGGUACGAUGCGGAUGUGCAUUGAUUAUCGCCAGUUGAACAAACUGACGAUUAAGAAUAAGUAUCCACUACCAAGGAUUUAUGAUCUGUUCGACCAGCUUAGAGGAGCUUCUGUAUUUUCCAAGAUCGACCUUCGAUCUGGAUAUCAUCAGUUAAGGGUCAAGGAGGCAGAUAUCCAUAAGAUAGCAUUCAGGACUCGGUAUGGUCAUUACAAGUUUCUGGUUAUGCCAUUUGGACUGACGAACACUCCUGCAGCGUUUAUGGAUCUGAUGAAUCGUGUGUUCCAACCAUUUUUAGAUCAGUUCGUAGUCGUCUUUAUUGAUGAUAUCCUGGUAUAUUCUGAAACUGAAGCGAAACAUGAUGAGCAUCUCCGUAUAGUGCUGCGAGUGUUAAGGGAGAAAGAACUCUUUGCGAAGUUCAGCAAGUGUGAAUUUUGGUUGAAGGAGGUAACCUUCUUAGGACAUGUGGUCUCUGCCGAAGGGAUUAAGGUGGACUCUCGAAAGAUUGAAGCAAUUUUGGAGUGGAAGGCACCUAGGACGGUGUCGAAAAUUAGAAGUUUCCUAGGGUUGGCAGGAUACUACAAAAGGUUUGUGGAAGGUUUUUCUGUGAUGGCAGCACCUCUGAGAAAACUCAUAAGGAAAGGGGUACCGUUUGUAUGGACUGAGACCUAACAGGAGGCUUUUGAGAAGUUGAAGAAAGUUCUGACUAAAGCACCUGUGUUAAUUCAGCCAGAGUCUGGGAAGGAUUUUACUGGGUACAGUGACGCAUCACAUGUAGGCUUGGGCUGCGUGUUAAUGCAGAAGGGUAAGGUGGUUGCAUAUGCAUCACGACAGCUUAAACCUCACGAAGGGAACUAUCUUACUCAUGAUUUGGAGUUGGCGGCAGUGAUAUUUGCCCUUAAGAUUUGGAGACAUUACUUGUACGGGGAGAGGUGUAUUAUAUACACAGACCACAAGGGUCUUAAGUAUUUGUUGACUCAGAAGGAGCUGAACUGUAAUGACCCGAAUUUUACCGUUACCGAAAAAGUGUAUUUUCGGGUCUCCGUUUCUGAAAAAUGGAUUCGUAAAUAUUUAUUAAAAAUAUUUACGAAGUAAAAUGAGUGGUUAAUUAGAGUUUAAUUAAGCGAAUUUAAUUUAAUUAAGAGUAAUUAAGUAAAAUGACCAAAUUGAAUAAAGUGUGAAAGUUGAAUUAUAGAUUAAAAGAAAAUAAAAAGGACUAAAAGGGCAAUUAUAAAAAAAGUAUAAAUUGAGGCGGUUUAUCGUGAAGAAAAUGUAAGAUUUUUUUUAUGUUUAGUAUAUUAUUAUAUUAUUAUAUUAUUAUAUAAUAAAGAUACUUUAUGUUUUAAUUAUAUUAUAUUAUAUUAUAUUAUAUUAUAUAUAUAAACUAAAGAAGCAAAUGAAAGGAAAUAGAAACAGAAUGGAACGAAAUAGAGAGCAGGGGAGAAAAAGAAAGAAAGAAGGGGAGAAAAGGGAAAAUUAAAGGUUUGAAGCUUUAAGCUUUAAUAGGUAAGUCAAUCAAGCCCUUUUUACUUAAUUUUGAUGUUUUAGAAGUUUUAGAACAAAGUUUUGAUGAAAUUAAGUUGAUAUUUUAAUAGUUAUUAGAUUUCUAGAUAUUGUCCAUGUUAAAUAAAAUGAUGAAUUAAGGGCUAAAUUGAUAGAAAUUCAAGUUAAAAAUGAUACAAGGAUUGAAUUAUAAAAUGAUUCAUAAGUUUUAUGCUUUAAGGACUAAAUUGAAAGAAUUUCAAAAUUAUGGUUUUAUGAUGAAAAAUAGAUAAUUAUGUCUAAGUUUGGUUAAAAAUUGAGUAGAAAUAAAGUAUGAAUUAAGAUAGAAAAGUAAGUGAAUUUAGUUAGAAUUAAAUUGAAAUUAAAGUAAAUCAACAUUUUGUACUAAGACUAUUUUGGACAGCAACAGUAGUCUAAGUUUGAAAAAUCACCAAAAAUUGUAGAAAUUGAAUUAGAGGAUGAGUAAAAUAUGGAAUUAAAUAUUAUUGAGUCUAGUUUCUUAUAGAAGAAACGAUAUAAGCAAUUGAAUUGUAAAUUAUGAGAUAUAAUGAAUUUUGUGAGACAAGGUCAGAAUGAAUUCGGGUUCCCCUGUUCUGACUUUGGAAAAUCACCAAAAAAUUGAAGAAAAAUAAUUAGAGGCUUAAAGUUAUAUGUUUAGAAUCCCUAAUGAGUCUAUUUUCAGGAUAAAUCAACGGAAAUAUUAUCCGAGUUCUGUACUGUGAGAUAAUUAAUUUUUAGUGAAGAAGGGACGAAACUGUCAGUCAGCAGAAUAGGGGUGAAUUUAAAGAAUAAACUGUACUUAAUGGCUAAACCAAAAAUUCUGAAAAUUUUAUUGUAAGAAGAUUUGUGAGUCUAGUUUCAGUAAAAAUUAGCAGAUCUUAAUUUAGAAUUCUGUAACUCAAGAUAUGAAUUAGUAAUGUAUUAAUGAUUAUGAAUUGUAUUAAUUUCGUAGUCAAUGUGGUACCGAAAAUCUCGGCUAAGAAAGGAUAAGACCAAGUCAACGGGAGUUAGCUCGAAAAUUACGGUUUGUAUUUCUAUAAUCCGAACUUAGUUAUUAUUUGUUAUAUUUAUAUACAUAUGACAAUUGUUAGUGUUAGAAUUAUGAUGUUUUACAAUUGGAAUGGAUUGAUUUUGGUAUGCGAUGAAUUUAUUGAAUUUAUAUUGAUUGAAAUUAUUUUGAUUGAAUUUAUAUUGAUUGAAUUAUAUAAUAUAUAUGAUUUAUGUAGAAAUUUGAAUAUUGAACGAAUAUUAUAUUGAAAAAUAUAUUGAUUAGAAAUAUGAGGAAAUUGAUAUGAAUAUAUGAGAUUGUGAUAUUUGAAUAUUUGAUAUUGAAAAGUGAAUUGAAUUGUAUUGAAUUAUGAAUUAAUGUGAAUAAUUGAAAUAUAUUGUUGAAUUGAAUGAAAUUGUAUGAAUUGUGAAAAUGGGUGAAUAUAUGUGAUUAUCAUAAUGGUAUAUUGAUGAAAGAAUUAUUAAAUUGAGAAAGUGAAUGAAAUACCCUAUUAACUAGUCGGGUUGAGUCGGAUAUAAUUGGAUGCCAUAGGAUCUGGAAGUGUACGAGAUUUGCCGGCUUUACUGAUCAGGCACUUUUUGUGUCGUAUUUCAGGCACCUCGUGUGUCGUUUUAGGCACUUUAUGUGUCGUAUACUGAUCAGGUACUAUGUACCGUUUUAGGCACAAUGUGCCGUACUGGUGUGUUUAGGUUGGAAUCCGUGUAUCCGUCAAAGUUCGGGUUUGUUAAUAGGGGUAAAUAAGUGAAAGAUAAAUCGAAUAAAUUUGAUUGAUCAAGCUAUUGAAAUGAAACGAGAAAUUGAAUUGAGAAUUGAAAAUUUAUACAUGAAAUUGAAAAUAUGAACGAAAGGUUCAUGAAAUGAUUGGAGUUCGAAUUGAUGAUAUAUGAUGCCACUUGAUGAAUUGAAAUGUGAUUUGAGAUAUAUGAAUCGUAUGUAUAUACUGAAAGCUAUCAGGGAUAGUAAGUUGAUAUGAUAUAAAUGAAAUUGACUGUUAUUGAAAUGAAUUAAAAUGGAAUAUGAUUGAUAAGGGUAUAGUUGAAUAUAGUUUAAUGAUAUUGAAUUGUGAGUAAAUUAAGGAAAGCUAUACCGAGUAGUAAGUGAAAGAUUGGAGUAAAUAAUAAUGGAUUUAGUUAAGAAUUGAACAAUUAUGUUAUUGUGUUUAUUAUAUGAUUUGUAUAAAAUUUAUAUGGUAAGUAGUUGAAAUUUAUCUAUGAAUAAAUAAUUGAAUAAUUGUAAUUGUUAUUAUGAUCUUAAGUAUUUGUUAUAUUAUUAAUUGUUCGGAUUAUAGAAAUACCACUGAGUAUACCAUACUCAGCGUACGGUUUGUUUCCGUGUGCAGGUUAAGUAAAGAUAGUACGUUGAAUCAGCAUCCCAAGACGAUCCCGGAUUCAUUAAGGUAAAGUAUGUUGAGUAUUGAUAAUGGCAUGUACCCAGGAUGUUUAAUGAGAGUCAUUUAGGUUGUAAAAGUAUUGAUGAAAUGAGUAAAUUAUGGUUGGCAACGGUAUGUAGUAUGAAUUUUGAAAUUUACUAAAAAUUCGUAGUGAUUCUAAAUUAGUCCCGAAUUGAAUUUACUAUUUAUAUUGGACCACGAGGGCCCAUUAAAGGGACGACAUCUUAAAACUAGGAUGUGUGUGAAUAUUUAUUUUAAUUAAUGACCGAAAUUGGACUGUAUUGAUUGGUAAUGUCUCGUAACCCUGUUCCGGUGACGGUAUAGGGUUAGGGGACGUUACAUGAACCUUAGGCAAAGGAGAUGGAUUGAGUUGCUUAAGGAUUAUGACUAUUCGAUCGAGUAUCACUAGGCAAGGCUAAUGUGGUAGCUGAUGCUCUAAGUCGUAGAACUGUAUCUGAUCUGAGAGCAAUGUUUGCUCGUCUGAGUCUGUAUGAUGAUAGAAGUCUGUUGGCUGAGUUGCAAGUGAGGCCAACCUGGGUGGAUCAGAUUAAGGAAAAGCAGUUGAACGAUGAGUCUUUGGUCGCUCGUUUUCAACAAGUUAAGGAAGGGGAAACUUCUGAGUUUCGGUUAAAUGGCGAAGGAGAUUGAGUACUCAAUAGGUGAUAUGGUCUUCUUAAAGGUUUCUCCUUGGAAUAAGAUAUUAAGGUUCAGUAAGAAGGGCAAGUUGAGUCCGCGGUUCAUUGGGCCUUAUCGGGUUUUGAAGCGAGUAGGCCCAGUGGCUUAUCAGUUGGAAUUGCCUCCAGAGUUAGAUAGGAUUCACGAUGUUUUUCACGUCUCCAUGUUAAGGCGUUAUCGUGCUGACCCUGCUCAUGUCCUGCCAGUUGCAGAAAUUGAAGUUCAGAUUGAUUUGACCUUUGAGGAGGAGCCUGUGCAAAUAUUGGCUCGAGAUGUUAAGGUUCUCAGAAGGAAAUCUGUCCCGUUAGUGAAAGUACUUUGGCGUAAUCAUGGAAGGGAAGAAGCUACUUGGGAAUCAGAAGAGACUAUGCGUCAACAAUACCCUCAACUAGUUGGAUCAGGUAAAUUUCAAGGAAGAAAUUUCUUUAAGGAGGGUAAAGUUGUAACGCCCCAAUUUUUGGGAAUUCUGUGAAUGUUGGCAUAGGUUUAAUUAUGUUAGUGGGCCUCUAGAAGGCCCAAGCUUAAGAUAGAACCCGGCAAUUUUAGUUAAUUUUUGUUCCAUAAGAAAAAGGGGGUGAAAUUAUGAAAUAGGACCUAUGUGAAAAUGUUUGAAAAUGCUAUAGGCUAAAUUGAAGUGGCCAAAUAAAUAAGAGUGCAAAAUAGGAGGAUUUGCAUGACAAACCUCCCAUUUUACAUGAAGUGGCCAGCCAUCAUGUUGUUGUAGACAAUAUGAGCACUUGAUAUCCAUAAUUCAUGGUACAAAUUGAUAAUGGGUUAGGUAAAUGUUCCAUGAUAAUGGAUUAGGUAAAUAUUCCAUGAUAAUGGGUUAGGUAAAUGUUCCAUGAUAAUGGUUUAGGUAAAUGUUCCAUGAUGGGCAUUUCAUGUCUUUUGUAUUAAAGAAUUAAAUGGAUGAAAUAUGAAAUUUUAUUAAAAGAAAAAGGGGUGAAAAGAACAAAGUUUUGUCCAUCUUUGUUCAUCAUCGCCGAAAGUUAGAGAAGAGAAAGGAGAGGAGAAAGCUCUUGAAUGUUCGGUCACUUGUGGAAGAAAAUUGAAGGUAAGUUCAUGGUAGUUUGCUUCUAUCUUGAUGUUCAUGAGUUCUUCUUGAUUCUACCUUAACUCUUAAAGCAUAUUUUGGUUUUUAGUUGUGUUGUGAGCAUUUAGUCAUGAAUUAAAAUGAAGGAAAUGGUUGUUGUUUCAUGUUCUUUUGAUGAAAAAUGGAAGAUAGGUGAAGUUGAGCCAAACAAAUGAGCAUGCAUGUGCCUUAGAUGCUAAGGGGAAAAAUCGGCUAACAUGUUGUGCUUUAAAAUGAUGAAAUGGAGAUUAUACUUAAGUAAAAUCAUAGAUAUGUGAUGAUUGAUUGGUGAUAUACAUGUUUAAAUAACAAGCAUGCAAGUUAGGUGUGAAAGAGUGAUUUGGUAAUAAAUCUGCUUGGGAUAGCAGCAGUAAUGUGACUUUGGAAAAUCACCAUAAAUUGUGGGAGAUGAGUUAGAAGCUUCAUAAAUUAUGUAAUUAAAGCUUAAUGAGUGUAGUUUCAAAUGGAAUAAACGAGAACAUAUUUUGAAUUCUGUACAAUGAGAAAUUUGAUUCGUAAUGAAGAGUGGUCAGAUUAGUCAAACAGUGAAACAUGGGAAACUUUAAGAAAAAUCUGGUAUUGAUUGGCCAUACCAAAAAUUCUGAAAAUUUUAUGGAUAGAAGAUAUAUGAGUCUAUUUUCAGGGAAAAUUAACGGCACUUGAUUUGGAGUUUCGUAGCUCCAGUUAUAAAUAAUUUAGUGACUGUUGCUCAGGAAGACAGCUUGCAGUGAAAUUAUGAUUAUGUGGUAAACAUUGACAAAAAUUUGUUAAUGAGUUGCAUAUUGAUUUCUUAUAAGCUUACUAUGAUCUGUAGGUGUGGUUGGCCGAAUAUUGUAAGGGGUUAAUUCGUAGUUUGUAUUUGAAUAGUUAGAUUAACGUGUUAGUAAUCCAAUUGUAGGCGGUUCGUGUGUGGAUCUCGUCAGCAUAUCGUCGCAAACAGGUGUGUAACUGACACCCUUUCAUAGACUAGAUUGGCAAAAGCCAAAAAGCCGAAAUGUUGAAAAGUCGGUAUUUUGGGAAUUUGCGAGUGUACGAAUGCUCGUAAGAUAGUUGGGUUUGUAUAUUUGGUAAUCUAAAGUAAUAAACUGCAGUACGCGCGAUUUCGUACAUUUUGAUAAUUUGGGCUUAAUGGGCCAAAGAUCGGGUUCAUGGGCCAACGGGCUCAAUUCGGUAAGUAUGCGCGGUAAGUGUUCUGAUAGUACGUAAAUAGUUAGGAUAUGCAUGAAAACCCUAAAAGUAGCUAAAUUACUAUAAUACCCCUAUGUAUGGAAAAUUACUGUUAUACCCCCUAGGUACAAAAUUACCGUUAUACCCCUAGGGUUAAUUUUGACUGAAAAGCAUGACGAUAUGAUUCUGUAUGAUGUAUGCCAUGAUUAUAUAUCUGUUGCAUGGGGACAUGGGUUAUAUUAUGGAGGAAACGUCCUGGUGGCUAUGUCACAAUUAUCUGAUCUGGUGGCUCUGCCACAUAUGUCUGUUCUGGUGGCUAUGCCACGAUUAUCUGAUCUGGUGGCUCUGCCACAUAUAUCUGUUCUGGUGGCUCUGCCACAAUAUCUGUAUCUGGUGACUUUGUCACAAUAUCUGGCAGCCUCGCUGCGAUUUCUGUGAUGUGUAGCGGUUGGGUGGGUCGAGUAGUCUCCCAACAUGGUGUAAGGCUGGUACGGGGGUGUUAUGGAUGAAUCUGGGUUGGGUUUCUGCAUAAAUAUGUAAUAUCUGUUCUAUUUUGUUAUGGGCCUAUGGGCUUUAUUCUGAAUUCUGUUCUGGGCUAAGGCCAACUUAUUCUAUUUCUGUGGUUUGAGCUGAUAUAGGCUAUGGUUGGGUUAAUUUACACACUGAGUUUCCCCAAACUCACCCCUUUUAUUUUCAUCCACGCAGGUAAUCCCCAACCAUAGUGGGCUUGGAGCUGUGAGGGAAUUCAGAGUGGCCACCCGUUCUGAAAGUUUGAUUUUCUUCUGGUGAACUAGACAUCCUUUUAUUUACGUUUGAAGUUUUGGGUUUUUAAAUGUAAUAAGGCCGCUUAAUUAUUUUUGAUGGUUUUAAUAUGUAUUACUAAGAUAGGUAUUACUUAUUUUAACUGUUGAAAUUGGAUAGCUUUAGGGCACGUUUUCAAAAACAACAAUUGAUUUCAAAAUAACACGACAACAAGCAAAGCUUCCGCAAUGAAAGUAUUUUCCAAAAUUAAUCACUUUUCCUAAAAAUGACUUAAUCAAAUCGGUUUCCUAGGAAUAUCCAUGACGUUAAGGCGUGGCAAUGGUGGUAUGCAUGUCUAGGAUUGGAUCCGAAGGGAGCUUGGUACUUAAGCAGUUCGAUGGACUCACCACCUCUUUUCCGGUUUCCUACCUGGUGCACAGCUUCCAUUCACUUUAACCUAUAAUGAAAUUGUCUUUUAAAACACUAAGUAAGUUUUUCUGGAUCAACAAUAUAAAAUGUUUUGAACGCUUCGAUGUGGCAUGUCGGAUCCAGUCAUAACGUCUGGGCUGGGUUUGGGGUGUUACAAAAUAUUACUUAACUCAAAUUUUUUUCAUUCAAAAAAUUACUUAUCAAAAAAUAAAACUCAGUUGAUUCAAUGGAAUACUCGCUGAUGAUUGCAUUAGAAAAGCUGAAAGUAUGACAAACUUGCCUAUAUCAUAGCCGUUUUUAGUAGUAACGACGGUAAUUCUACAAAAUCCUGACUCUAGGAAUAACCCCAAAAAUUAAACUUAUGGUAGCCAUCAUUGUCUGCUCCAAAUUGACGAGCUUCAUACAACAGAGAGAUGAAAAGCGAAGUUGCAUAAAUAUUUUGUUAUCUUUUAUUUUAUUUUCAAAUUACCUAAUUAAAUUAAAUUAUGUUUAAAGUUUCAUUUUAAAUAUUUUAUUUUUUUUGAGUCACGAAAAAUAAUUUUAAUAUUUUAUUUUAUUUUAAAUAUUUCAUUUUAUUUUAACAUUACCUAAUUAAAUUAAAUCGUAUUUAAAGUUUUAUUUUAAAUAUUUCAUUUUUUUUGAAUCACGAAAAAUAAUUUCAAUAUUUUAUUUUAUUUUAACAUUACCUAAUUAAAUUAAAUCGUAUUUAAAGUUUUAUUUUAAAUAUUUCAUUUUUUUUGAAUCACGAAAAAUAAUUUCAAUAUUUUAUUUUAUUUUAACAUUACCUAAUUAAAUUAAAUUGUAUUUAAAGUUUUAUUUUAAAUAUGUCAUUUAAUUUGAAUCACGAAAAAUAAUUUCAAUAUUUUAUUUUAUUUGAUCACGAAAAAUAUUUUGUUUUCUUUAAUUUUAUUUUCAAAUUAUCUAAUUAAAUUAAGUUUUAUUUUCCAACUCGCAUAAUUUACAUAAUUUACAUAAUACAUAACUUACAUAAUUUAAAGUUUGAAUUUCAUAACUUACAUAAUUUACAUAACUUACAUAAUACAUAACUUACAUAAUACAUGACUUACAUAAUUUAAAGAUCAAAUUUCAUAACUUACAUAAUUUACAUAAAAUUAACACACAUGGAACUAUAUCCUAAAAUUUAAAUAUUAAAACAACUAUAACAUGGAACUAUAUCCUAAAAGUCAAAACACAAUAAUACAUUUAAAUAAUUGUAUAUAUAUUACUUUAUGUCGUACAUAAUACAUAACUUACAUAAUUUACAUAACUUACAUAAUACAUAAAUAUAUAUCAUAUCAUAACUUACAUAACUUAAUUAUAUUUAUAAAUAAACAACUUACUCGUGUAACUUAUUGUCAACUUUAGACUUCAAGAACAACAAAAUGGAUAGGAGUUGGAUGAAUUUGUCAAGGGUAAGCAACGAAUAUCGAAAUGGAGUUCAAACUUUUCUAAAUUUUGCAUUUCAAAAUGCAAGCCAAGAGAAUAUGAUUCUAUGCCCGUGUAAGAGGUGUGGCAACAUCAAUUGGCAUUUUC
rnacentral:lncRNA from 1 species